rnacentral:rRNA from 1 species
CAGCCUUUCCUUAACAGGGCGGGUAACCUUUUCAAAAUACCAGUUUGAUUUUAAAGCUUUGGGUCAAUUAGGGUGAUGGUUCGAUAGAACCAAUAUCACCCAGCUGCUACUCGUGCGCGCGUGUUAUUCCUGGUGACUCAUGGUGGGGACCGACAUUUG